GCACUUCCGGAGUGAGGCAAUGCCUCGCCCUGCUUCGGCUCGCGCACGGUGCGCGCACCCACUGGCCUGCGCCCACUGUCUGGCACUCCCUAGUGAGAUGAACCCGGUACCUCAGAUGGAAAUGCAGAAAUCACCCGUCUUCUGCGUCGCUCACGCUGGGAGCUGUAGAGCGGAGCUGUUCCUAUUCGGCCAUCUUGGCUCCUCCGGCUUACAUUCUUGUAUUAGGAAGAAGAAAAGCUUUUUGAAUGAAUCACUUCUCAUCUUCUCCGAAGUUGGAAGCAUCAAGAAUCUAAAUAAGCAUUUAUGAUGGCUGGCAUGAAUAUUUCUCUCCUUCAUCGUGCCUAUUUUAUGAACUUGAACAAGGAAGUUGCCACAACAUCUGUGGGCCAGAGAACUAUGCCAGAAUGUUAUUUCCAGAUUGCUUCCUGUAUUUACAAAGGUCUAUAGGUCCACUGAUACGGCUUUGCUACUCUACCCCGACACCCUGAGGACUAAUCUAUUAAUAGUAUGUACUUCUUAUAAUGAUGAGUGAGGCACAAAAGAGGAAGCAGAAACGCGGAAGAUAGAAUGGGAGUCCUAGUUGACCUUCAUAUAAUUUUUAGAAGAUGGAGCACUUCAACUUCUUCCACUCAUGAAAAGAGAGGUGACAGGUGAAGACAGAACAAGAAAACAAACCAAGAAUUUCCCCUCACCAGCCACCAGCUCUGCCAGCAACUUGAUCUUAGACUUCCCAGCCUCCGUAACGUCUUCCUCCUAAAAACCUGUAACCUCAAUCUAAUCAUGAGAAAAGACAUCAGGCAAAUCCCAACUGAGGGAGAUUUUACAUAGUACCUGAGCAGUACUCCUCAAAACUGUCAAGGUCAUCAAAAACAAAGAAGUAUGAAAAACUGUCACAGCCAAGAGGAACUUAAGGAAACAUAAUAAUUAAAGCCUCUGCUUAUAAUCUGUCAUGGAUUGGAAAACUAGAAAAAACAGUUUACAGAGUAUAACAAACUUUGGAGGAGUUAAUCGACUCUAAGUAAAAGAGUAUCUAGCACGGCUGUGGAACAAAGGAGAGACUCACAAACUGUUGAAAGAAUAAAUGAAUGAAUGAAUUCUGUUCAUGAGCUUUAAUAAAACAGCUCUGAGUAGUAACAGUGGAUCAAAUUUAGGCUUCUUGAUGCAGGCAUGGUGUAGAUUACUACUUCUGUAUUGUCCCAGGAGCUCAGCACAUUCCUGCAGAGAUGAUAGGAGCUCAUCUGAUACUUGUCAGCUUUGAAUAAACUCCAGUCCCCAAGAGAGAGAAUGAGAAUCACCGGAAUACGAAACUUCCCUGUUGGACUUCCCAACAUUCUUGAAUGCACCAAGAUAGCCUCUUGCUGUGAGAUUAAUAAAUGAAUAAAUGCCUCCAUAUUUUUCAAAUCUGUGAAGUUAACAACAUGUAGAUUUUUUUGCAUAUUUAAAAACUGCAACUAAAUCUUAAUGCCUCUGAAGCAGAUGGAAGAAAAUAAUAGGCUUCCAUUAACUGUGUCAAAUUGUAUAGGUCUUGGCCAUCACUGGUCCUGUUGUGAUGAAGGUUUUUUGCCCUUGGAUAUAAUUUAAUUUUCAAUUCUUCUAAUUAUGGUACUUCAGAACAUCAAUAUUUGAGAUGAACUUCUCUAGUGUCAAGGACUGAUUUGAGUUGUGUAAACCCUGAAUAUCUGAGACAGGUCUCGAUUAUUUUAGAAAGUUUAUUUUGCCAAGGUUGAGGAUGUGUGCCUGUGACACGGCCUCGGGAGGUCCUGAGGACAUGUGCUCAAGGUGGUCAGAGCACAGCUUUGCUUUAUACAUUUUAGAGAGACAUGAGACAUCAACCGACAUAUGUAAGAUGAACAUUGGUUCCAUCUGGAAAGGCGAGACAACUUCAAACGAGGAGGGGGCUUCCAGGUCAUAGGUAGAUAAGAGACAAAUGGCUGCAUUCUUUUGAGUUUCUGAUUAGCCUUUCCAAAGGAGGCAAUUAGAGUGAGCAAAAUGAACAAAAUCAAUUAUUUUGAUUCUGAACAAAAUGGGAGGCUGGUUUUCCCUAAGCAGUUCCCAGCUUGACUUUUCCCUUUAGCUGAGGGAUUUGGGGGGCCCAAGAUUUAUUUUUCUUUCACCGUUGUAUCAAACUACACAGGCGGCCUUGGAAACCAUCACAGUUGAGAGUAGGUAACGCCCAUUUGUUGCAUAGUUUUGUGCUCCACACUCUUAUCUACAAAAUUAUGAAUUUUUUUACAUAUAUUAAUUUCAGAAAAACUAAAAAUAAAACAAAGUAGUUUCAAACUAGUAUUGUUUUUAUAUCUUAAAAAUAAAGCUUUAUAUACUCUCCUUAC